rnacentral:rRNA from 1 species
ACGAACCGUCCAAACGUUAUUCGGAAUCACUGGGCUUACAGAGUUCGUAGGCGGUCUGGAAAGUUGGGUGUGAAAUCCCUCGGCUCAACCGAGGAACUGCGCUUGAAACUACCAGACUCGAGGGAGAUAGAGGAAAGCGGAACUGAUGGUGGAGCGGUGAAAUGCGUUGAUAUCAUCAGGAACACCGGUGGCGAAGGCGGCUUUCUGGGUCUUACCUGACGCUGAGGAACGAAAGCCAGGGGAGCGAACGGGA